rnacentral:rRNA from 1 species
UACGUAGGGGGCAAGCGUUGUCCGGAUUCAUUGGGCGUAAAGAGCGUGUAGGCGGCCAGGUAGGUCGGUUGUGAAAACUGGAGGCUCAACCUUCAGAGGUCGACCGAAACCAUCUGGCUAGAGUCCGGGAGAGGAGAGUGGAAUUCCUGGUGUAGCGGUGAAAUGCGCAGAUAUCAGGAAGAACACCCGUGGCGAAAGCGGCUCUCUAGUACGGUACUGACGCUGAGACGCGAAAGCGUGGGGAGCGAACAGG